ACUUCCAUAACAACACAAAUAAACCCUAAGUCUCAAAGACCAAAGCUGUGCAAGUCACUGUUCACCUUCCCCUUCAUCAGAAUCGCCCAAAUUCCCCUAACUCACCCCACACGCCUUCUUUCUUUCGUCCUUUUGCCACAUAGAAGUAACGGGCUCUGACAACGAUACGAUUCCCUCCCUCACUUGCCCGUUUUCAAUCUAUCUCACGCGAAUUGGAAGGCUCUAGAAGAAGGGUGUUGGAUGAGUGAGAGGCAUCGGAUCGAUUUCAUUCAAUUCGAGCCUCACGUUCAUCACGCGCUCGUUUUCAGGAGAGCCUUAUCCGUUUUCUUGGAGAGGACGAAGGAAUCCAGAGUUCGCAUAUAUAAGGAGCAUUUUCGGGUAAUAAUGGGGGGUUCGUUUUUUUUUUCAGAAAAAUUUGUGGAGAGUUUCUUUUCUUCUUCAUUUUUUUUCCUGCAAUAGACAAUGUUGGAAACACGUUCUCAAUGCAAUAUACUAAAACGUUACUUCUUUUGUAUAGGUUUUGAUGAAUGACAAAUGAAGCGAAAAUUGAACAACACAAAAAAAAAAUCCUUGAGGGUCGCUAUUUUAAUUUCCUGUCAAUUAUGGUUUCCAAAAUGGGAAUCAUUUGAGAAGUUUUGAGGCUGUGGUUGCUCGAGGAUUGGUUUUCUGCUGUUUCUUUGUUCUAUGUCUAUUUCAGUGUUGUGACGAAUUCGUUCCAGGUUCAUAUCUUUUCUUCUUCUAUGUUUCUGCUGUGAAUGCGAGUCGUAGACAAUUGUAAAAGCGAUUAAGGUUGGAACAACAGUUGAAAUUCUAUGUUCAAUGAGCGUGCCAUGGAUUUUUAAUCGUCUUGAUGAUAUGUUUGUGUGUCUGUUCAUUUUUGAAUUUAGCAGUCGUUUUCUGUUUGGGAGAACUUCCUGCUCUCAGUAUCGUUUUAACAUGUUUUAAGUAUCUCUGCUAGUAAAGAAAGGUGUAAGAAUUGGGCAGUUGAUUGAAUAAUGUAUCUCUCGAUUCUAUGCUACGAACCUAGUUGAAAUGGUCAGCUCUUUGAGGGCUCAGUAGUGUUCUGUUUUUGUAGUUGUUAAGCGAGCAUGAAUCUAUGAUGUUUAUCCUCAUGAUGUUUGUUUUAUAAGUGAUAUGUGCUUGUAAAUCUUCUCCAUUACUGGAAGCUUUGAAACUAGGAUCACCCCAUUGCAGGGGACAGUUGGGUUGUUUACCGUUGCGAGUUAGAGUUUUGGUCGUUUUGUUAAGGAACGAUCAUUUCAUAGAUGAGUUUUCCCUAUGCAUCUUUGCCGCACAUAGAACCACAUUGUAGCCCUGGUAGAUCUGCUGCUUUGCCUCCAGUUCUUGGCAUUUUUUUUCUCCUCCCUUUGAGGUUGUGAAGGUCGGGCUACAUGUUUUGAGUUCAGAAAUCAUAGUUAAUUGGCGACGUGCUCGUGUGUCUUAAUCUCUUUGUUAGAUUGGUCCGCAGUAAUAUUUAUCUUGUUUCAUCCUUUAGAAAUUAUGCCCGCUUUCUUGUGUCACAAAUUGCAUGAUAACUUUCACGCGUUUCUUUGGGAUAUGUUAGACAAGGAUUGCCCAGAUUUGAACUACCUCAUGUCUGAUAACUUUGAAUUUGCAAGUUGUUAAUGAGCUCAUUCAUGGUUGUGAUAAAUGUUCUAUGAUCCCCCUUCGAGUUCUGUCCAUGAGGUAGUAGGAUUGAGUUCCUUUAUUUUUCAUGUAGGGUCAGUUUCAAUUUUCUAAUGUUUUGAUUAUACCACUGCCUUGGUUGGUCAAUUUUGCUUCUAUUGAUUUGCAUCUCCUUGUACAUGACUACUGCUAAGGUCUACUUGAGGAUAAUGGUGUGAAAAGAUUCAACCAUAUGCAC
rnacentral:lncRNA from 1 species